GGCGCGGGGGUCGAGUGGUCCUGGGGCGCGAAGGCUCGGACGUCCCCCCACCCCCACAGCUGGGACUCCCGGGGAGACAGACCCACACACCGGGGCUUGGGGGGGCGGUACUGCCCCCCGAAACUGGUCAUUACAAACUUGUCUGCACUUUUAUUGAAUUUUACGAUAUACUUAAUCACACACAAGAUGCUUGCAGAAUAUCGUAACUUACAUGCUCAUGUAUCAGAUGUUCGAGCUAGCCAACAGGAGCAGCAAAUGGAGGUUUUGCGAGACAGUUCUCCAAAAGAGAGGAAGUAACUAUAUGACCCUAGGGAAACUGUCCAGUUUGGCCAACGUACAUAGGAGAGGGGCAUUGCUGGCAUAUGAUGGCGUCUAUUACAUUGGUGGACGUGCAGGUGAAUGAACCGGUGAUGGUGUGGCUGAUCUGGUUAGGUCCUGUGAGGGUGUCGCUGGUGUAUAUAUGUGGGCAGAGUUGGCAUCGAGGUUUGUUGCUUGGAUUGGUUUCUGAGCUAGUUAGUAUGAUGCGGUGUGCAGUUACUGAUGAGAAUAUGUUUCAGGUUGGCA